rnacentral:tRNA from 1 species
GCCUGGCUGGCUCAGUUGGUAGAGCAUGUGACUCUUGAUCUCAGGGUUGUGAGUUCGAGCUCCAUGUUGCGUG